GACCCCAGGUCAGGCGGGGUUACCCGCUG
rnacentral:rRNA from 3 species